GAUGAACGCUGGCGGCGUGCCUAAUACAUGCAAGUCGAGCGGAAGGACGAGAAGCUUGCUUCUCUGAUGUUAGCGGAGGACGGGUGAGUCACACGUGGAUAACCUACCUAUAAGACUGGGAUCACUUCGGGAAACCGGAGCUAAUACCGGAUAAUCUUUUGAACCGCAUGGUUGAAAAGUAAAAUACGGUCUUGGUGUCACUUAUAGAUGGUUCCGGGCUGCAUUGGCUAGUUGGUAAGGUAAAGGCUUACCAAGGCUACGAUGCAUAGCCGACGUGCGGGGGGGGUCGCCCACACUGGAACGGGACCAGGGUCAUGGGGCCUGCGGGAGGGCGCAGUAGGGAAUGGGCGGCAACAGGCGAGAGCAUGGCGGAGCGACGCCGCGUGAGAGAUGAAGGUGUUGGGAUCGGAAAGCUGUGUUAUGAGGUAAGAACAGAUGUGUAAUUAGCUGUGCACAGCUUGACGGUACCGAGUCAGAAAGCCACGGCUAACUACGUG
rnacentral:rRNA from 1 species